UGCCUUCAGUGUUCCACCAACCGUCAAAAGGAAGAGAGUGUGCGUGUCGUGUUCCCUUUUAUACGGACUAACCGCGUGUGUGUGUGUGUGUGUCAGACGGGAGUGAGUGAAGCCUCGAAUUCCCGGUGACGAGUGCGUAGUUAGUGACCUAUAGUGUGGCUGCACUAACCCUGGACUACUACUACUACUACUACUACUGCUGUUGUUGCUGCUGCUGCUGCUAACACCACUCACUAACCAGAUGAUGACGAUGAUGGGGACUCACCACACCAGGAUGACCAAAAACAUCGCCGCCAUAGCCACGGUGUUCCUCGUCCUACUCCAACAAGGUAUGAACACAAGCUGAUUAAGACUUCCAUACCUGUGUGUUAUUCCAGGUAAGGCAU